GAUGAACGCUGGCGGCGUGCCUAAUACAUGCAAGUCGAGCGAACAGACGAGGAGCUUGCUCCUCUGACGUUAGCGGCGGACGGGUGAGUAACACGUGGAUAACCUACCUAUAAGACUGGGAUAACUUCGGGAAACCGGAGCUAAUACCGGAUAAUAUAUUGAACCGCAUGGUUCAAUAGUGAAAGACGGUUUUGCUGUCACUUAUAGAUGGAUCCGCGCCGCAUUAGCUAGUUGGUAAGGUAACGGCUCACCAAGGCAACGAUGCGUAGCCGACCUGAGAGGGUGAUCGGCCACACUGGAACUGAGACACGGUCCAGACUCCUACGGGAGGCAGCAGUAGGGAACCUUCCGCAAUGGGCGAAAGCCUGACGGAGCAACGCCGCGUGAGUGAUGAAGGUCUUCGGAUCGUAAAACUCUGUUAUUAGGGAAGAACAAAUGUGUAAGUAACUAUGCACGUCUUGACGGUACCUAAUCAGAAAGCCACGGCUAACUACGUG
rnacentral:rRNA from 1 species